AUUGAACGCUGGCGGCGGGCUUAACACAUGCAAGUCGAGCGGGGUGAUGGUGCUUGCACUAUCACUUAGCGGCGGACGGGUGAGUAAUGCUUAGGAAUCUGCCUAUUAGUGGGGGACAACAUCUCGAAGGGGAUGCUAAUACCGCAUACGUCCUACGGGAGAAAGCAGGGGAUCACUUGUGACCUUGCGCUAAUAGAUGAGCCUAAGUCGGAUUAGCUAGUUGGUGGGGUAAAAGCCUACCAAGGCGACGAUCUAUAGCGGGUCUGAGAGGAUGAUCCGCCACACUGGGACUGAGACACGACCCAGACUCCUACGAGAGGCAGCAGUGGGGAAAAUUGGACAAUGGGGGGAACCCUGAUCCAGCCAUGCCGCGUGUGUGAAGAAGGCCUUAUGGUUGUAAAGCACUUUAAGCGAGGAGGAGGCUCUUUUGGUUAAUACCCAUGAUGAGUGGACGUUACUCGCAGAAUAAGCACCGGCUAACUCUGUGCCAGCCGCCGCCGUAA
rnacentral:rRNA from 1 species